CGACCUCAGAGCAGGCGAGACUACCUGCUGAAUUCAAGCAUAUUAAUAAGCAGAGGAAAAGAUACUAACCAGGAUUUCCUUAGUAGCGGCGAGCGAACAGGAAAUAGCCCAGUACUGAAUCCCGCGGUUCUGCCGCUGAGAAAUGUAGUGUUUGGAAGGAUUCACUUAUCCCGGGGCGUCGAUCCGAGUCCAAGUCUAUCUUGAAUGGGGCCACUUACCCGUAGAGGGUGCCAGGCCCGUAGUAACCGGGACGCGCCACGGGAGAAUCUCUCCUCAGAGUCGGGUUGCUUGAGAGUGCAGCUCUCAGUUGGUGGUAGAUUCCAUCUAAGGCUAAAUAUGACCACGAGACCGAUAGCGAACAAGUACCGUGAGGGAAAAUUGAAAAGAACUUUGAAGAGAGAAUUCAAGAGUACGUAAAACCGGUCAGGGGUAAACCUGAGAAACCCGAAAGAUCGAACGGGGAGAUUCAUCGUCAGCGAAACCGGGUUCGCCGUGGCUCGUGAUGCUGGGACCUUGCGUCCACGGCACGCGUCCGCGGUGUUCAUGUCCGGCUCAUUCGAAUUUUAUAUUGUUACCGGUCGGCGACGCUAUUGCUUUGGGUACUUUCAGGACCCGUCUUGAAACACGGACCAUGGAGUCUAACAUGUGCGCGAGUCAUUGGGAGACUCAAACCUGAAGGCGCAAUGAAAGUAAAGGUCAGCCUAGCGCCGACCGAGGAAGGAUGGGUCGCGUCACGAUACGGCCCCGCACUUCCGGGGCGUCUCGUUCUCAUUGCGAGAAGAGGCGCACCCAGAGCCGAAAGAUGGUCAACUAUGCCUGGUCAGGACGAAGUCAGGGGAAACCCUGAUGGAGGUCCGUAGCGAUUCUGAGGUGCAAAUCGAUCGUCGGAGCUGGGUAUAGGGGCGAAAGACUAAUCGAACCAUCUAGUAGCUGGUUCCCUCCAAAGUUUCCCUCAGGAUAGCUGGCACUCGCGUACAAAAUGUACACGAGUCUUAUCCUGUAAAGCGAAUGAUUAGAGGCCUAAGGGCCGAAACGACCUCAACCUAUUCUCAAACUUUAAAUGGGUAAGACCUCUGGCUUGCUUGAACUAUGAAGCCACGAAAUUCCGGACCAGAGUGCCAAGUGGGCCACUUUUGGUAAGCAGAACUGGCGCUGUGGGAUGAACCAAACGCCGAGUUAAGGAGCCAAAGUCGACGCUUAUGGGAUACUAUGAAAGGCGUUGGUUGCUUAAGACAGCAGGACGGUGGCCAUGGAAGUCGGAAUCCGCUAGGGAGUGUGUAACAACUCACCUGCCGAAGCAACUAGCCCUGAAAAUGGAUGGCGCUGAAGCGUCGUGCCUAUACUCGGCCGUCAGCGGCAAGAGAGGCGGCUUCGGCCGUCAUGAAGCCCUGACGAAUAGGAGGGUCGCGGCGGUGUGCGCAGAAGGGUCUGGGCGUGAGCUUUCCUGGAGCCACCGUCGGUGCAGAUCUUGGUGGUAGUAGCAAAUACUCCAGCGAGGCCCUAGAGGACUGACGUGGAGAAGGGUUUCGUGUGAACAGCCGUUGCACACGAGUCAGUCGAUCCUAAGCCCUAGGAGAAAUCCAAUGUUAAUGACGGUGUAUUUUUAUGCCAUUGAACGCAUCACGCACGCUGUAAGCUCUCCGUCGAUUGGGGGGUGGACGGUUUUUGUUCUACCUUGCGGGCCUUUGCGAAAGCGUUGUCGCCCGGAGGAAAAAACGGAUCCGUUCGCGUGCGUGCGCGCGGCUCGAAUCGAAACACACCCGUUGGGCGAAAGGGAAUCCGGUUCCUAUUCCGGAACCCGGCAGCGGAACCGUUUACAAGUCGGGCCCUUGCAGGGAGUAACUAUGACUCUCUUGAGGCGAGGUUAAACAUAAAACUGCCCUCUAGUCCAAGGGACGCAAGGCCCCGAAAGGUGUUACUGGAGAUUGAGAGAGAGGUGUCCAAGCUACGACAAUACGCUGGAUUGUAGCCUGAUAAGGAAAGGGAUCGAGGAAAAAGAAGGCCGUGCUGCUGGAAAAGUCGGUAUACGGGCGGACCAGGAAAAACGCGUUUUUGGCCUUCUAGAGUGGUCCAAAUCGAAGUGACUGCUGAGGGACUUAUAAACGCUUAUGACCAAGGGCUACUCAGAGCAUACCAGAAAAACCUGGAAAUCGCAAGAAAAGGGACUGAAAGGGGCCUUGAAAGAAAAUGAGACAACAUGAAGACCUAUAGAUCAUUGCAAAAGAGGCGUGAAGGCAGAAACAUAGCACAUAUAUAUCAUGCGAAUCCUGAAAUAUAACAAAAAAGACCAACUGAAAACUGUAGAAUUGAGAAAUUAUUACAUAGGACUGUAUGUAAUGUAGUAGAAUAUACGGACAAAAGAGCACGAAUGAUAGAGAAUGAACAGUCUAAAAAUACAAAAAAAAAGCACUCACGCUGAGAUGCUAAUCCCUCUGCUGGUGGAGCAGACUGACAGGACAAACCUAGAAAAAAUGAGCAAAAUAUUAAUGUUUUUGUCAAGAUAGCGUAUGUUAACAGUAGAGCACAAAAUAGGAAAUGAAACCGUUUUGGAGGUCAAUCCAAUAACGUUAGUUCUAAUAUAAGUGGAAUUAAUUAGUGGAAUUAGUUACAUAUCUACUCGAGUAUCUUUGUACUUUAUUACCUCUAAGCUAUUCUUUGUUUUCCUUUUUUUUUUCCCCUUCACUCUAGAACUGUAAUGCUUUGUAUCUUUCUUUAAUUUCUACAAUGUAUUGUCACAAUUUGAUUCUACCGUAUCCAUGCGGUUCAUGAAAAAUAAAUGAUAUUUCUAGCCAAAUGCCUCGUCAUCUAAUUUGUGACGCGCAUGAAUGGAUUAACGAGAUUCCCACUGUGCCUAUCCACUAUCUAGCAAAACCACUGCCAAGGGAACGGAUUGGAAAAAUUAGCGGGGAAAGAAGACCCUGUUGAGCUUGACUCUAGUCUGGCACUGUAAGGAGACAUGAGAGGUGUAGCAUAAGUGGGAGAUGGUAACAUCGUCGGUGAAAUACCACUACUUUCAUCGUUUCUUUACUCACUCGGUUGGGUGGAGCGCGUGCGUCGAGGACAUUCGUCCCAGCUGUCACGGUGUUCUAGAGCCAAGCGCCAAAGAGUGUGUGGGGCGGUACAUCUGUCAAAAAAUAACGCAGGUGUCCUAAGGCCAGCUCAGCGAGGACAGAAACCUCGCGUGGAGCAAAAGAGCAAAAGCUGGCUUGAUCUCGAUGUUCAGUACGCAUAGAGACUGCGAAAGCACGGCCUAUCGAUCGUUUUGGCUUGAAGAGUUUUUAACAAGAGGUGUCAAAAAAGUCACCACAGGGAUAACUGGCUUGUGGGAACCAAGCGUUCAUAGUGACGUUGCUUUUUGAUCCUUUGAUGUCGGCUCUUCCUAUCAUUGCAAAGCGAAAUUUGCCAAGCGUUGGAUUGUUCACCCACCAAUAGGGAACGUAAGAUGGGUUUAGACCGUCGUGGGAAGGGUUAGUUUCACCCUACCGAUGACUUGUCGUUGCAAUUAAAUCCUGUUCAGUUCGAGAGGAACCGUAGGUUCGGACAUUUGGUUCACGCACUAGGUCGAGCGGCCAGUGGUGCGGAGCUACCAUCCGUGGGAUUAUGCCUGAACGCCUCUAAAGCCGUAUCCUCUCUAGUCAAACUAGGCAACGAUGUUUCUAGGAGUCUCGUCGGUCGGAAAGCUUAAAACAAUGUAACUUUACUAGGUGACCGGUCCACGGACCAUAUAUCGCACGAGCCCUGUUUGCCGCGCGAAGCCGUCGGCCGAUGUCGGGAUUUCCCCGCUCGUUGGCCUGGCUUCAAUCGGUCGAUCAUGGGUCAUCCAGUUCGAUGUCAAGACUCGGAAUCGUCUGUAGACGACUUAGGUACCUGGCGGGGUGUUGUACUCGGUAGAGCAGACCACGCUGUGAUCUGUUGAGAUUCAGCCCUUGGCUCGGGGAUUCAU
rnacentral:rRNA from 1 species